UACGAGGGGGGCGAGCGUUGUUCGGAAUUAUUGGGCGUAAAGGGUGCGUAGGCGGUUUUGUAAGUCUUAUGUGAAAUCUAUGGGCUCAACUCAUAGACUGCAUGAGAAACUGCAGGGCUUGAGUAUGGGAGAGGUGAGUGGAAUUCCUGGUGUAGCGGUGAAAUGCGUAGAUAUCAGGAGGAACACCGGUGGCGAAGGCGGUUCUCUGGGCAUUCCCUGACGCUGAGGAGCGAAAGUGUGGGGAGCGAACAGG
rnacentral:rRNA from 1 species